GGGGUGGGGGUCGCGGUGGGAGGGGUCAGCCGGUGGGCGGUGCGGGGGUCGUGGUGCGGGCGGAGGCGGCGGGCCGGUCCUUGCGGCACCGACACUAAGUGUCCGGACCCCGAGGGAGCGGCAGGCGCCCUGCGGUUGGUCCCGCGGGCGGGCCGGGGGUCUCCGGGGGUGUCCGGGGGUGUCCGGGGGUCUCCCCGCGGGUCUCCCCGCGGGUCUCCCCGCGCCGCCCGACUGCUGCCCGCUCGAGGAGGGCGGGAGGGAGGCCUCAGCCGGCCGGGCCCAGCGCGGUGGGGGCCCCGUCUGAUCAUUCUCCCCCACGCCUGACCACUGGCGGGGGUGGCCGGGCCGCAGUUAAAUGAUGGAAGGUUUUGGACUGGACCGUGAGAGCGAGGCUGACAGCUGUCUGCUCCGGACACUGAGCCCUCGACCCCUCGGGAUGCUUGGGGAGGGUUUGGGAGGAAAGGAGUCCAACCGGAGGCCUCUGCGAUCGUUUGCCCUGAGAGAUCGUCUCCAUCGCUGCAUUUGCGUCCCCGAUGGAGAGGAGAAGCUGCGUUCUAUCUCACAGUUGAGCCAGUAAAGAUGAAAUUCAUUUCAAACCUGACAGCGUUCCUAGACCCUGAAGCAAUGAUCAUUUUUGACUCGCAGUGUAUAUGUUGCCCUCGGGGAGGCAGUGGCGUUAGAACUUCAUGAGUGCCCACAGGAAUCCACAUGGGACCUUUCUCUUGCCAAACUACCCUGCUUUCCUCCUCUGGAAAACCGAAUCCCACUCCUCAAGAUCUGUGCCUGAGUUAAAAAAAAAAAAUCAAAGUUCACUUCAGUGGGCCAGUUGGUCAAACAGGAAUGGUGGCUUGAUCUAAUGCAUCAAGCCUUGGUGCCUGCUUCCCUUUGGUCCCUCUGCGAGACGGUUCAUUGUGCAUCAGUCACUUUGAAAGGGAGAUGAGUUAAUUUGCAGUCUGAAGCAUUUUGAUUGUCCCAGAAUUGGAAUCAGUCACCGUUCGCUAUACCAUCGCCCAGUGAGACACUGGUAAGUUCUCUUUUAAAUUAAAGGGAGUGAUACAACAAGGCUAAAAUAUCCGUUGGAUUGUUAGAACUUUGAAGGUUUAUUUUUAAAUUAAUCUGAAGGGUAGAGGCUAUUGGCUAAUGGGACAGUAAAAAAAUGCAAUGCCAGCCGGGUCUUUAGGAGACCACUUAUUCUUAUAAAGGGGGCUGGAACUCUCUAGGCUCA
rnacentral:lncRNA from 1 species